GCAGUAGCCGCGGUAAUACGUAGGUCCCGAGCGUUGUCCGGAUUUAUUGGGCGUAAAGCGAGCGCAGGCGGUUAGAUAAGUCUGAAGUUAAAGGCUGUGGCUUAACCAAAGUACGCUUUGGAAACUGUUUAACUUGAGAGCAAGAGGGGAGAGUGGAAUUCCAUGUGUAGCGGUGAAAUGCGUAGAUAUAUGGAGGAACACCGGUGGCGAAAGCGGCUCUCUGGCUUGUAACUGACGCUGAGGCUCGAAAGCGUGGGGAGCAAACAGGAUUAGAUACCCGGGUAGUCCCUGUCUCUUAUACA
rnacentral:rRNA from 1 species